GACUUUUUUGUUAAAAAGAAAAAAGGAAAAAAAAAAUGUUGUGAAUUUUUAUAAUUGAACUUCGUAUAAAUGACAAAAUACAAAUUAAAAAAAACAUAAAAUUUUAAAAAACCAAAAACAAAAAAUUGUUUAUUUUAAAAUUGGUAGCAUCAACACCUAGGGUUUCUGCGCUAUUCUUCAUCUUUCUCUCACUCUCUCCUCCUCGCGUCUUGGCGACCGAAGCUCUGUUUCUUCUUGCAAAUCUCAUGUUGCAACACUCAACAAUGGCAGGACAGGUGAGGUCGAUCAUCAGCCAUAACGGAAGCCGCAUAAAAGCUAGAGAAAGCUAUGGGGAAUGUUAGAGAAGAUGGUCUUUCUCAGGUUCAUUAUAAUCCUUCAGAUCUGUCUAAUUGACUUGAAUCUAUGCUUUUUGAGUUUAAACCAUCAAGUAGUUAGUAGUUAGUAGUUCUUGAUUUGGAUUGAGAGAAUUAUUUUUUCAUCAAGUAGUUAGUAGCUCUUGAUUUGGAUUGAUGUAGCAAAAAUAGUUGCCAAGGAUAUUAGAUUAGAUGAUAUUUUUUUAUUCAACAAAUUGAAAGAUGAAUUUUGUUGAUAGACUGGCUAGGUUUUUUGAAUUAUGAUAGCAUCGUUUGCAUUUAUCAAGUGUCGUUGCCAUAAUUAUACCAAUUGCUAUUGUUACUGAGUUGAGAAACAAGCAUGCCCAAAUACUGGGUAUUUAACAGGCUCAAAGAUAAAAUUACUAAGCCUGGAUAUCCCGAAAUGGGACAAAUUGCACGACAUCACGAGAUGCAACACACCCAGUUGUACUCUCGAGCCUUUCUCAUUCGUCUCCGUCUAAAAACUGCAAAAAAGAAAAGUUUGAAGGAUUUACAGAACAUAAUUCUUAUACUCGUAUAUUACUGUCAAGUAUCAAACCAUACACCCAAGACUUGCUUAUUAUAGUGUAUACAACUAUACAUACCUCCAUUUCCUUAUAGUCGGCUCCUCCAACUCCAACAAUGAGUAUUGACAAAGGUAAGUCAGAUGCCUUUACAAUAACAUCCUUUGUCUCUUGAAGAUCUGUUAUCACUCCAUCCUGAAAAUAAGUUGAAUUAUAUUAUGAAUGCAAAAUCAAUCAAGCUCCAUUCCACUCCAAUUUAUGUCCUUAACCCGGGAAAACCAUCCGCAUAUCUUGAAGAAGAGUAGAAAAGAUGAUGAGAAAGCAAUAAAAACUUCAUAGAGUAGUCCAAAGAUCAAUGCUAGGAUCAAUAUAAGGAAGGGGGAGAUCACUAAUAUCUUAGAGGAGAAUGAGGUUCAUCCAUUGCUGGUGAGUACAAGUGCAAUCUCUUUGGCAGUGUGUUAGGAUGAUUGUGAAGAUCGAUGACAUAGUCACUGUGCGGUAGACUUCGGUGGUAUGAUUUUGCUAAAAUUGCCGAGUAGUUUUGUCCCAGAUUUUCUCCUUUAGGAUCAUAAUUUUGCAACGUGUUACAUCUGUGGCUGUGAUUUUAUUAGUAAAUUUUUAGUGUUGUUCUCUGCUGACAUUUACUUUAAGUUUUUGUUUUUUUUGAAGAUACUUUCAUGUGCGUCUAGUAUCAAUCAGUUUUUGUAGGCGAAUACACUCUAGACUACAGAAUAUGUUAUAGAUACUUAGUGGCGGUUUAGUGAGGAAACACUGAUUGUGAAACUAAGAUUUGCUUUCCCUUGUUUGUUAUUUCUUUGUUUAUUCACUGUUAUAGUCUACAGAAUUGUUGCUUUUGUAAGUUUGUUUCCUUAACGAUUAGGAUUCUUUGUGUGUGUAAUAUAGAAGGUUCCUGAUGGUGUUUCAUGGCACGAGAUCACUUAAUUAUCCGCUCAAAGCAAUGCAGUUGUCCUAGUAAACUAUCAAGUGAGGUUUGUACUUAAUAUUUUGCUGUUUUCAGAAGUUCUUUUCAGCUUAUUUCUGAAGAUUGUUGUAGAAGAAUGGAAGAAAACUGGGGCUGGCCAGCAAUCGGAAUUGAUCUCGGGUCUAGAUUUUCAAGUGUAGGAGUUUGUCAGUAUGACCGAGUUGAUAUUAUAAUGAACGAUUAGGGCAACAGGAAAAACACCAUCUUAUGUUGCUUUUGUUGAUAGUCAUUGCCUUGUUGGUGAUGCAGUUUUCGUAGUACUGCUAUGAAACCAAAGGGGUGAAAGUUUUAUUUGGAAAUUUCUUUGACACAAAAUUGAUGCAGAUUAAAGGAGAAGUAGAAGCCUUAGAACGAACCAAAGACGAUGAGAUGGAGUUGAGUAUAUUCCUUUCCUCCUUCAUUUGUUAUAUCUGAUGGAUUUGCUGGUUUAUCUUUGUUUUAACUUCAUACAGGUCGGAGGGAGAUUACAGACAAAGGGGGCAAUGUUAUGGUGCAAGCACCUACCCGAAUGUCACAUCCUCUGGAGGAGAGAGAAAACCUAAGACACAUGAUGAGAAAAUAGUUUAUGUUUAGUAGAGAAUUAGUGAAAUUUAGUGGCUUAUUUAAGAACAUAUUGAGUAUCAUUCAAAUUCAGAUAGUCGUAUACUUCUGUAUUUUUGAGAUAGAUAUAUAAUUUUUAAUUGUAUUAAUUUGUACUCAUUAGUUUUGUAGAUUGAAAACUUUAGAUGAAAUGAAAUAAUGUUUUUUUGAAA